GACGAACGCUGGCGGCGUGCUUAACACAUGCAAGUCGAACGGAAAGGCCCUGCUUUUGUGGGGUGCUCGAGUGGCGAACGGGUGAGUAACACGUGAGUAACCUGCCCUUGACUUUGGGAUAACUUCAGGAAACUGGGGCUAAUACCGGAUAGGAGCUCCUGCUGCAUGGUGGGGGUUGGAAAUUUUCGGCGGUUGGGGAUGGACUCGCGGCUUAUCAGCUUGUUGGUGGGGUAGUGGCUUACCAAGGCUUUGACGGGUAGCCGGCCUGAGAGGGUGACCGGCCACAUUGGGACUGAGAUACGGCCCAGACUCCUACGUGAGGCAGCAGUGGGGAAUAUUGCACAAUGGGCGGAAGCCUGAUGCAGCAACGCCGCGUGCGGGAUGACGGCCUUCGGGUUGUAAACCGCUUUCGCCUGUGACGAAGCGUGAGUGACGGUAAUGGGUAAAGAAGCACCGGCUAACUACGUG
rnacentral:rRNA from 1 species